UACGUAGGGGGCAAGCGUUGUCCGGAUUUAUUGGGCGUAAAGAGCGUGUAGGCGGCCAAGCAGGUCCGCUGUGAAAACUCGAGGCUCAACCUCGAGACGUCGGUGGAAACCGUUUGGCUAGAGUCCGGAAGAGGAGAGUGGAAUUCACGGUGUAGCGGUGAAAUGCGCAGAUAUCGGGAAGAACACCCGUGGCGAAGGCGGCUCUCUGGGACGGUACUGACGCUGAGACGCGAAAGCGUGGGGAGCGAACAGG
rnacentral:rRNA from 1 species